GUCGAACUUCGGGGUCCGCCUUUUGGUGUGUACUGGUCUAUCGGAGGCUUACUUCUUGGUGAUCUUGUGGUUGGUGGUGCAUGGCCGUUCUUAGUUGGUGGAGUGAUUUGUCUGGUUAAUUCCGAUAACGAACGAGACCUUCUCCUGCUAAAUAGCCCGGCUGGCUACGGCUGGCUGUUGGCUUCUUAGAGGGACUAUCGACGUUUAGUCGAUGGAAGUUGGAGGCAAUAACAGGUCUGUGAUGCCCUUAGAUGUUCUGGGCCGCACGCGCGCUACACUGACCGAGCCAGCGAGUCUAUCACCUUAUCCGGAAGGAUUGGGUAAUCUUGUGAAACUCGGUCGUGAUGGGGAUAGAGCAUUGCAAUUAUUGCUCUUCAACGAGGAAUACCUAGUAAGCGUAUGUCAUCAGCAUGCGUUGAUUACGUCCCUGCCCUUUGUACACACCGCCCGUCGUUACUACCGAUUGAAUGGCUUAGUGAGGCGUUCGGAGAGCCUAUGGGGAGCUGGCGACGGCACCCCACUGGCUUGAAGUUCUACGAAC
rnacentral:rRNA from 1 species